rnacentral:rRNA from 1 species
CACCGCGUGGGUCCCCCUUUGCGGGGAGGGCCCGCGUUUUUCACAUCAAACUCGAUACAGUGUAGAAUGUUUAUUUUUGCGAUAUCAUGCGCAAUCAAUACAACUUUCAACAACGGAUCUCUUGGCUCUCGCAUCGAUGAAGAACGCAGCGAAAUGCGAUACGUAAUGUGAAUUGCAGAAUUCAGUGAAUCAUCGAAUCUUUGAACGCACCUUGCGCCCCUUGGUAUUCCGAAGGGCACACCCGUUUGAGUGUCGUGAAAUCUUCAAAACCCUUUUGUGGGAUUUUGGACUUGGAGGUCUAAUGCUUGCCUUUGAUUUCAAAAGCGAGCUCCUCUCAAAUAAAUUAGUGAGGUCUGCUUUGCUGGUCCUUGACGUGAUAAGAUGUUUCUACGUUUUGGAUUUGGCACCGUCGCUCGCUUCUAACCGUCUCAUGGACAACCGAUGGCGCUCCGGUCACCGCCAUCAACGUUGGCGGGAGGCUUGGCCCACGAAAGAAAAACCU